rnacentral:lncRNA from 1 species
AUUUUUCAAACUUUUUAUUCACUUAAUUCUUGAGUUUCUCUUUAGAACAAUGCAAGUGUUGUCUUUUUUUUUUCAGUCUUAGAUCACUCGGGUAUCUUAGACUAUAUUUUUUUCUUUUCUCUUUUUUUUUUUAAUUUUUAUUUUUCUUUCUUUCUUCGCCUUUCUUUUACACGUAUCACCCCAAACUUGAAUUAUUGCACACUUUCAAGAAACACCACAUUCGUACUAAACAAGGGUAAGGAGUGUUUGGCCAAUGGUUUAUACAUGUGGUUGAAAAC